GAUGAAGAACGUAGUGAAAUGCGAUAAGUAAUGUGAAUUGCAGAAUUCAGUGAAUCAUCGAAUCUUUGAACGCAUCUUGCGCUCCUUGGUAUUCUGAGGAGCAUGCCUGUUUGAGUGUCAUUAAAGUUCUCAACCACAUUACUACAUAUGUGGCUUGGAUGUGGGGGUUUGCAGGCUUUCUCUGAGGGUCUGCUCCUCUGAAAUGCAUUAGUGGUAUUCCUGAGCUUUACUACAGAUGUGAUAAUUUAUCUACAUCCCAAAAGUAUGCUUCAGCAACACCGCUCCUAACAAGCGAAAGCACAUUUUGAUGAAUUUGACCUCAAAUCAGGUAGGACUACCCGCUGAACUUAAGCAUAUCAAUAAGCGGAGGA
rnacentral:misc_RNA from 1 species